rnacentral:rRNA from 1 species
AACGAACGCUGGCGGCAUGCCUAACACAUGCAAGUCGAACGAGACCUUCGGGUCUAGUGGCGCACGGGUGCGUAACGCGUGGGAACCUGCCCUUAGGUUCGGAAUAACUCCCCGAAAGGGGUGCUAAUACCGGAUAAUGUCUUCGGACCAAAGAUUUAUCGCCUUUGGAUGGGCCCGCGUUGGAUUAGCUAGUUGGUAGGGUAAAAGCCUACCAAGGCGACGAUCCAUAGCUGGUCUGAGAGGAUGAUCAGCCACACUGGGACUGAGACACGGCCCAGACUAGUGGGGGAGGGUGCAGUGGGAAGUAUCGAGGAAGGGGAAAAGGCGUGAUGGAGCACGGGCGAGGGAGUGAGGAAGGCGUUAGGAUUGAAAAGCUCUGUUACCCGGGAUGAUAAUGAGAGUAGCGGGAAGAAAGGGUACGGCUAACCCCGUGCCAGCGGCGGCGGGAAUAGGGGGAAGAGGACACGUCUGAGC